ACUUUACUCUCAACUACCGGACACCCAGCGAGCGAUGAUUAUCAACAAACUACACCAGUUAAUUCAGCGUUUAGAGGAUAUGAAACCUGACGUGAGUCCCUUGGAAAAAAACUCCUCUUCACUCUCUUCUGACUCUGACCUUCCCUUAUCUAGGCCAACUCAAACGUUGACCAAACAUCCAGUUGCCUUUAAGUCAUCUGGUGCAAUCUUUAUGGAUGAUACAGGUUUUCUAAACCGAAUUGAUGAAUUACAUUGACAUUCUCCUUCUACAAUAACCUCUCCACACGGAUUAGUAACAUCAUCCUGCACUUGUCGAAAAACAUCGCUGACAAACCCUCCCUUAUACCUCCUAUCAUGGAACAUAGCAGGAUGGAAUGCCAAGCAAAAUAACUCAGAACUGACUAACUAUUUGAAUCAACAUGACAUAAUUUUCCUCCAGGAGACUUGGUCUACCCAUAAUUUAUUAUUGGAUGGCUUUGUCUCUAUUGAUCUACCAGCAGCUCCAUCUUUGGCUAUAUGCCAAGGCAGAGCUAAAAGAGAAGCUGAUCAUCAUGGAUCACAGAAAGACUCUAUCAGCUUCUGAGGUCUCACAGCACUCAUUGCCAUCAUCCGCCAGGCUAAGCUCUGCCCCCCCCCCCAUGUUCUGGAAACCAGCCUGUCAGUGAAGCCUCAGCAAGAUCUUUACUCUUUCCUUGCAUGACUGGGCCAUUCGCAUAUCAGCCUCAAGGGAUCCAGUGUGCCAAGCACCACAGGACCAAGAACAGCCCCUGGUACUUGCCACUAGAGUGGACAGGCAGUGCUUUUGAUUUCUGUCCUGCCCUAGAGUAAGGACUCAGGACAGAUGGAGAUAUAUGGCUUGUUUUAUUAGCUGCUGGCCUGGUAUUUUACCUCGGGUAUUUGUAUUGAACUUUUGUGUUUUUGUUGGAAGCCAGCUUGAAAGGUUUACUCCCAAACGCAGCAUAAAAAUAUUUUAAAUAAAAUAUAUGCAACUUG